rnacentral:rRNA from 1 species
UGGACUGGUGCCUUCGGGAACUGUGAGACAGGUGCUGCAUGGCUGUCGUCAGCUCGUGUUGUGAAAUGUUGGGUUAAGUCCCGCAACGAGCGCAACCCUUAUCCUUUGUUGCCAGCGGUUAGGCCGGGAACUCAAAGGAGACUGCCAGUGAUAAACUGGAGGAAGGUGGGGAUGACGUCAAGUCAUCAUGGCCCUUACGACCAGGGCUACACACGUGCUACAAUGGCGCAUACAAAGAGAAGCGACCUCGCGAGAGCAAGCGGACCUCAUAAAGUGCGUCGUAGUCCGGAUUGGAGUCUGCAACUCGACUCCAUGAAGUCGGAAUCGCUAGUAAUCGUGGAUCAGAAUGCCACGGUGAAUACGUUCCCGGGCCUUGUACACACCGCCCGUCACACCAUGGGAGUGGGUUGCAAAAGAAGUAGGUAGCUUAACCUUCGGGAGGGCGCUUACCACUUUGUGAUUCAUGACUGGGGUGAAGUCGUAACAAGGUAACCGUAGGGGAACCUGCGGUUGGAUCACCUCCUUACCUUAAAGAAGC